GAUGAACGCUGGCGGCGUGCCUAAUACAUGCAAGUCGAGCGAACAGACGAGGAGCUUGCUCCUCUGACGUUAGCGGCGGACGGGUGAGUAACACGUGGAUAACCUACCUAUAAGACUGGGAUAACUUCGGGAAACCGGAGCUAAUACCGGAUAAUAUAUUGAACCGCAUGGUUCAAUAGUGAAAGACGGUUUUGCUGUCACUUAUAGAUGGAUCCGCGCCGCAUUAGCUAGUUGGUAAGGUAACGGCUUACCAAGGCAACGAUGCGUAGCCGACCUGAGAGGGUGAUCGGCCACACUGGAACUGAGACACGGUCCAGACUCCUACGGGAGGCAGCAGUAGGGAAUCUUCCGCAAUGGGCGAAAGCUUGACAGAGCAACGCCGCGUGAGUGAUGAAGGUCUUCGGAUCGUAAAACUCUGUUAUUAGGGAAGAACGAAUGUGUAAGUAACUAUGCACGUCUUGACGGUACCUAAUCAGAAAGCCACGGCUAACUACGUG
rnacentral:rRNA from 1 species